rnacentral:rRNA from 1 species
UACGGAGGGUGCGAGCGUUGUCCGGAAUCACUGGGCGUAAAGGGCGCGUAGGUGGCCUGUGGAAGUCUGCGGUGAAAGCCCGGCGCUCAACGCCGGGUCGGCCGUGGAUACUCUCGGGCUCGAGCUUACUAGAGGCAGAUGGAAUUCCGGGUGUAGCGGUGGAAUGCGUAGAGAUCCGGAAGAACACCGGUGGCGAAGGCGGCAUCCUGGACUGGUCCUGACACUCAGGGGCGAAAGCGUGGGGAGCGAUCCGG